GACCAGACUCCUACGGGAGGCAGCAGUGGGGAAUAUUGCACAAUGGGGGAAACCCUGAUGCAGCAACGCCGCGUGAGUGAAGAAGUAUUUCGGUAUGUAAAGCUCUAUCAGCAGGGAAGAAGAAAGACGGUACCUGACUAAGAAGCCCCGGCUAACUACGUGCCAGCAGCCGCGGUAAUACGUAGGGGGCAAGCGUUAUCCGGAUUUACUGGGUGUAAAGGGGGCGCAGACGGCGAUGCAAGCCAGGAGUGAAAGCCCGGGGCCCAACCCCGGGACUGCUCUUGGAACUGCGUGGCUGGAGUGCAGGAGGGGCAGGCGGAAUUCCUGGUGUAGCGGUGAAAUGCGUAGAUAUCAGGAGGAACACCGGUGGCGAAGGCGGCCUGCUGGACUGCAACUGACGUUGAGGCCCGAAAGCGUGGGAAGCAAACAGGAUUAGAUACCCUAGUAGUA
rnacentral:rRNA from 1 species